rnacentral:rRNA from 1 species
UACGAAGGGGGCUAGCGUUGCUCGGAAUUACUGGGCGUAAAGCGCACGUAGGCGGAUUGUUAAGUCGGGGGUGAAAUCCUGGAGCUCAACUCCAGAACUGCCUUCGAUACUGAUCGACUCGAAGGCAGGAGAGGGUAGUGGAAUUCCCGGUGUAGUGGUGAACUGCGUAGAUAUCGGGAGGAACACCAGUGGCGAAGGCGACUACCUGGCCUGUUCUUGACGCUGAGGCGCGAAAGCUAGGGGAGCAAACGGG